rnacentral:rRNA from 1 species
UACAGAGGGGGCAAGCGUUGUUCGGAAUUACUGGGCGUAAAAGGGCGCGUAGGCGGCCUUCUAAGUCUUGUGUGAAAUCCCCUCGGCUCAACUGAGGAACUGCACGGGAUACUGGAAGACUUGAGUUCGGGAGAGGGAAGCGGAAUUCCGGGUGUAGCGGUGAAAUGCGUAGAUAUCCGGAGGAACACCGGUGGCGAAGGCGGCUUCCUGGACCGAUUACUGACGCUGAUGCGCGAAAGGCUAGGGGAGCAAACGGG